rnacentral:lncRNA from 1 species
UCUUCUUCUCUCUCCUCUCUCUUCUCCCCCAUUUCCCUCGUGACCGAACUCCCUUCUUCCCUUCUUCUUCGUGCAAAUCAGUGGACUGAAGACAGAAGCGGAAGAAGAAGACAGCAGCUCGCUGAAGACCGGAGCAACCACCAUCGCCGCCGCGCUCCGUCGCCCGCACGCCGCCGUGCGCCACCAGCUCCGUUCCCUCGCGCCAGGCGACCUCCCCGAGCGAACCAGCCUCUGUUCAGCUCGGUUCCGCCCCGACCAGCCGCCUCCGGCCACCGCCUACCUCCGUCCGGCCACCGCGUAGCCUCCCCAGCGUCCCCUCACCCUCCGCCGGCCUCCCCUCGCCGUUUUGGCCGCUGGAGCAGCCCCGGCCAGCCCCGUCCAGCAACCCACGAAAUGGGUUUCCAGCUGGUUCGGGCCCGCUUUUGGGCCGUUUCCGGGCCCCGAACCCAAGCC